CAGGACGAACGCUGGCGGCGUGCUUAACACAUGCAAGUCGAACGGUAAGGCCCCUUCGGGGGUACACGAGUGGCGAACGGGUGAGUAACACGUGGGUGACCUGCCCUGUACUUCGGGAUAAGCCUGGGAAACUGGGUCUAAUACCGGAUAUGACCUUCCCCUGCAUGGGGGUUGGUGGAAAGCUUUUGCGGUACAGGAUGGGCCCGCGGCCUAUCAGCUUGUUGGUGGGGUAAUGGCCUACCAAGGCGACGACGGGUAGCCGGCCUGAGAGGGCGACCGGCCACACUGGGACUGAGACACGGCCCAGACUCCUACGGGAGGCAGCAGUGGGGAAUAUUGCACAAUGGGCGAAAGCCUGAUGCAGCGACGCCGCGUGAGGGAUGACGGCCUUCGGGUUGUAAACCUCUUUCAGUAGGGACGAAGCGCAAGUGACGGUACCUACAGAAGAAGCACCGGCCAACUACGUGCCAGCAGCCGCGGUAAUACGUAGGGUGCGAGCGUUGUCCGGAUUUACUGGGCGUAAAGAGCUCGUAGGCGGUUUGUCACGUCGUCUGUGAAAACCCGAGGCUUAACCUCGGGCCUGCAGGCGAUACGGGCAGACUUGAGUACUGUAGGGGAGACUGGAAUUCCUGGUGUAGCGGUGGAAUGCGCAGAUAUCAGGAGGAACACCGGUGGCGAAGGCGGGUCUCUGGGCAGUAACUGACGCUGAGGAGCGAAAGCGUGGGUAGCGAACAGGAUUAGAUACCCUGGUAGUCCACGCCGUAAACGGUGGGUACUAGGUGUGGGUUUCCUUCCACGGGAUCCGUGCCGUAGCUAACGCAUUAAGUACCCCGCCUGGGGAGUACGGCCGCAAGGCUAAAACUCAAAGGAAUUGACGGGGGCCCGCACAAGCGGCGGAGCAUGUGGAUUAAUUCGAUGCAACGCGAAGAACCUUACCUGGGUUUGACAUAUAGAGGAUCGCCGGAGAGAUUCGGUUUGCCUUGUGCCUUCUAUACAGGUGGUGCAUGGCUGUCGUCAGCUCGUGUCGUGAGAUGUUGGGUUAAGUCCCGCAACGAGCGCAACCCUUGUCUCAUGUUGCCAGCACGUAAUGGUGGGGACUCGUGAGAGACUGCCGGGGUCAACUCGGAGGAAGGUGGGGAUGACGUCAAGUCAUCAUGCCCCUUAUGUCCAGGGCUUCACACAUGCUACAAUGGCGCGUACAGAGGGCUGCGAUACCGCGAGGUGGAGCGAAUCCCUUAAAGCGCGUCUCAGUUCGGAUUGGGGUCUGCAACUCGACCCCAUGAAGUCGGAGUCGCUAGUAAUCGCAGAUCAGCAACGCUGCGGUGAAUACGUUCCCGGGCCUUGUACACACCGCCCGUCACGUCAUGAAAGUCGGUAACACCCGAAGCCGGUGGCCUAACCCCUUGUGGGAGGGAGCUGUCGAAGGUGGGAUUGGCGAUUGGGACGAAGUCGUAACAAGGUAGCCGUACCGGAAGGUGCGGCUGGAUCACCUCCUUUCUAAGGAGCAUUUAGUGCCGUAUCAAACCCGUUCGUGGUUUGGCGGUCGCUCAUAUUAUUGGGUGGAACACUGACACGGUAAUUCUUAUCGCCUCGUGGCCGGCUGGUGCUGGUCGUUGGGGGUUUCGUCGGCACACUGUUGGGUGUCUGAGAGGACACGUCUUCUCUAUUUUGCUGCUGCGUGUCUGCGCCGGCGUAGUGGGCCCUGUGGGGUUCGUAGCUGGUGGCGGUGUGGUGGUGUGUGUUGUUUGAGAAUUGUAUAGUGGACGCGAGCAUCAACAUGACGCUGCAUCGUUUUCGGUGUAUUUGUUGUGUUAUGUUUCUGUAAUUUUACAUGUUUCUGUGUAAGCAUUUUGUUGUGUUUUUUUGGCGCUUAUGUCAUGAAGGGCACUCAGGUUUGUGACGGCUUCGGUUGUUUCAGGUUUGGUGUGUGUUUUGUGUGUUGUAAGUGUCU
rnacentral:rRNA from 1 species